rnacentral:rRNA from 1 species
UACGGGGGGAGCAAGCGUUGUUCGGAUUUACUGGGCGUAAAGAGCUCGUAGGCGGUUUGUCGCGUCUGCUGUGAAAACUGGAGGCUCAACCUCCAGCCUGCAGUGGGUACGGGCAGACUAGAGUGCGGUAGGGGAGAUUGGAAUUCCUGGUGUAGCGGUGGAAUGCGCAGAUAUCAGGAGGAACACCAAUGGCGAAGGCAGAUCUCUGGGCCGUAACUGACGCUGAGGAGCGAAAGCAUGGGGAGUGAACAGG